rnacentral:rRNA from 1 species
CCAAUAGCGUAUAUUAAAGUUGUUGCAGUUAAAAAGCUCGUAGUUGAAUUUCGGGAUUAGUAAGUUGGUCGUGCCUCUGGUAUGUACUGGCUUUACUGGUACCUCCUUCUUGAAGAACUGUAAUGUCAUUAAUUUGGUGUUGCAGGGAAACAGGACUGUUACUUUGAAAAAAUUAGAGUGUUUAAAGCAGGCUAACGCCUGAAUACAUUAGCAUGGAAUAAUGAAAUAGGACGUUUGAUCCUAUUUUGUUGGUUUCUAGGAUUGACGUAAUGAUUAAUAGGGAUAGUUGGGGGCAUUAGUAUUCAAUUGUCAGAGGUGAAAUUCUUGGAUUUAUUGAAGACUAACUACUGCGAAAGCAUUUGCCAAGGAUGUUUUCAUUAAUCAAGAACGAAAGUUAGGGGAUCGAAGACGAUCAGAUACCGUCGUAGUCUUAACCAUAAACUAUGCCGACUAGGGAUCGGAUGAUGUUAAUUUUUUAAUGACUCAUUCGGCGCCUUACG